rnacentral:rRNA from 1 species
ACGGAAGGCAGCAGUGGGGAAUAUUGCACAAUGGGGGAAACCCUGAUGCAGCGACGCCGCGUGAGUGAAGAAGUAUUUCGGUAUGUAAAGCUCUAUCAGCAGGGAAGAUAAUGACGGUACCUGACUAAGAAGCACCGGCUAAAUACGUGCCAGCAGCCGCGGUAAUACGUAUGGUGCAAGCGUUAUCCGGAUUUACUGGGUGUAAAGGGAGCGUAGACGGCAAGGCAAGUCUGAAGUGAAAGCCUGGGGCUCAACCCCGGAACUGCUUUGGAAACUGUCUGGCUAGAGUGCAGGAGAGGUAAGUGGAAUUCCUAGUGUAGCGGUGAAAUGCGUAGAUAUUAGGAGGAACACCAGUGGCGAAGGCGGCUUACUGGACUGUAACUGACGUUGAGGCUCGAAAGCGUGGGGAGCAAACAGGAUUAGAUACCCUGGUA